GCUAGGUCAUAAAAGAUACUGUGGUGUUCAUCUAGUUCUCUCUUAGUUCAUCCACUCUGGGGUAAGCCAGCCAUGAAUAAAUUCAAGUGGCCCGAAGUAGAGGUCCAAGUGGUGAAGAACUGAGGCCUUUUCAAAAGCCAGCACAAAUCUGCAAACCAUUCGAGUGAGUCAGCCUAGAAUUGGAUCCUCCAGCCCAGUCAAGCCUUGAGAUGACUAUAGACCCAGCUAACAACUUGACUGCAACCUCACAAAAUACCAAGCCAGAAUUACCCAGAUGAGGAAACUGAAGCACAAAAACAACUUGCCUGAAGUCACUCAACUAAUUCAUCUUUGCCCAAGAUACAGUCGAAAACAUGUUUUAGAUGAGUCAUUUAACUGGAAUAAUCUUCCUUCGGAUUACUGGAGUCAUUGGGGAAAAAAAUACAAAAUCAUGUCUGAAGAUGGGGAAGUCCAAGAUUGAGGGGCCAGCAUCUUAAAAUGACCUUCUUACUCCAUCAUCCCCUGGCACAAGGCAGAAGAGCAAGAGAGGGCGAGAGAAUGCUGCCACAUGAGGAUGCAAUAUCUAGAGUUACAGUAGACAUCUACAACCAUAAUGAGAAUGAGAAGCCUGAGGACGCAAGCCUCACCCUGAGGAUGAAAGAGUAAAGACAGGCCAGGCACGGUGGUGGCUCACGCCUGUAAUCCUAGCACUUUGGGAGGCCGAGGCAGGCAGAUCACUUGAGGUCAGGAGUUCAAGACCAGCCUGGUCAACAUGGUAAAACCCUGUCUCUACUAAAAACACAAAAAUUAGCCAGGCAUGGUGGUGCAUGCCUAUAAUGCCACAGCUACUCAGGAGGCUGAGGUGGGAGAAUCACUUGAACCCAGGAGGCGGAGGUUGCAGUGAGUGGAGAUCACGCCACUGUACUCCAGUCUCAGCUAAAGAGUAAGAUUCCAUCUCAAAAUAAAAAAGAAGAGAAAGGACAGAAAACUAUUGGAUCUUCAACAGUAUCACAGAGUUGCUAAAAACAAUUUCA